UACGUAGGGGGCGAGCGUUGUCCGGAUUUAUUGGGCGUAAAGAGCUCGUAGGCGGUUCGGUAAGCCGGAUGUGAAAUCUCCACGCUCAACGUGGAGGGGCCAUUCGGAACUGCUGUGACUAGAGUCCGGUAGAGGAGUGUGGAAUUCCCGGUGUAGCGGUGAAAUGCGCAGAGAUCGGGAGGAACACCGGUGGCGAAGGCGGCAUCCUGGACCGAGGUUGACGCUGAGGCGCGAAAGCUAGGGUAGCAAACGGG
rnacentral:rRNA from 1 species